rfam:Piloderma croceum F 1598 unplaced genomic scaffold scaffold_00011, whole genome shotgun sequence.
AAUCCCUUAGCUCAGUGGUAGAGCAUUGUACUUAUGUGGAUACCUUCCCCACGCGCUAUAGUUUAUGCAGUGGUCCCGAGUUCGAACCUCGGAGGGAUUA